rnacentral:rRNA from 1 species
GUGAGGAAUAUUGGGCAAUGGGCGAAAGCCUGACCCAGCCACGCCGCGUGAGUGAUGAAGGCCUUCGGGUUGUAAAGCUCUGUGGGGAGGGAAGAAAAAGCGGGAGAGUAACUGCUCUCGUGUUGACGGUACCUCCUUAGCAAGCACCGGCUAACUCUGUGCCAGCAGCCGCGGUAAUACAGAGGGUGCAAACGUUGCUCGGAAUUACUGGGCGUAAAGCGCGUGUAGGCUGACAUGCAAGUCGGGUGUGAAAUCCCAGGGCUCAACCUUGGAACUGCACUCGAAACUGCACGUCUUGAGUACUGGAGAGGGAAGCGGAAUUCCGGGUGUAGAGGUGAAAUUCGUAGAUAUCCGGAGGAACACCAGUGGCGAAGGCGGCUUCCUGGACAGUAACUGACGCUGAGACGCGAAAGCGUGGGGAGCAAACAGGAUUAGAAACCCCAGUAGUC